ensembl:lncRNA
ACUCUACCUACUAAGCUACCUAGCUGCACAUAUGACAUAUAUAAAUAUAAGUUUGAUAUAAGUAAAAAUGUGAUAAGGAUAGACAGAGCAUUCUUGGAAAAUUUGGGGAAGGAGAAAUGACUUUUUUUUAAACCCUUACCUUUUCGCUUAGAAUUGAUAGUGAGUCUGAGUUCCAAGGCAUAAAAGCAACAAAGUCUAGGCAAUUGGGAUUAUGUGACUUGCCUGGGGUCACAACAACUAGGUAAUUUAUGAGGCUAGAUUUAAACUCAGGACCUCUGGUCUCCAGACCCUAUCCACUGAGCCACCUAGUUUCCCCUGAGAUGACUUUUAACUGAGGUAUCAGAGCCUUCAAACUUUUAUAGAGGGAGGGACACCUGAACUGAGCUUUAAAGGAAACAGAUUUUUCAAUAGAACAACAAAAAAUUGAGGGGGGUAAGGAGGGAAAAACGAAAGGGAACUCAGAUUUUUUCGAUCACUUUUCCAGUUCCCUCUGAUGGUAAUACCCAUCCUCAACUAGGUAUGAUGAUGUCAUCAGCUCCCUCAUAAUGGCUAGGUGGGGAGAGGGAAGGAUGAUCUAACAGAGGGAAUUAUUGUGGGCAGAGCCUCCAAAAGUUAAGGCACCCAGGAAUACAGGCACAGACAACAGGAGGCACCAGCCCUGUUACUUUGCCCCACAGAAAGGCCAACCUCAGAGUGGAGCCAACACGGAGGAGAGAGGGGCUGGGACUAAGCAUAUUCCGAAGCUGGGGGCAGUGUGCCAAAUACCAAUGGAAAAAACCUCGGGUCCCUCAGUUUCUGAGCGGCUCCGGAGUCACCACUCUGACAGAAGAGGAGGGAAUCACACAAGCAGUGGAAGGCAUGCCAACAAAGACUUCAGAAACCAUCAGAGCCAGAGGAAAUAUCGGGCAGGAACUUCAUAUUCCCAUCUACCUCAGGAAAGACAUGCUAUAAACACCAGAUAUGGGGACCAUGCUAAAUCCAACCAAUCACAUCGAACUGAACAGGAGCUGGUAGGACCCUUGCCUGUAAAGAGAUCUCGACAUUUUUGCCCCCGAGCAUCAAAGAAAAGCAAGGGCCGCACUUCGCACAAGAGAAAUUCCAAGAAAAAGUCAAGAGGGAGAGGCCGAAAAUAGGCAUACAGGAAAGGAGACCACAUGAAGAUUCACCAGUUAGGGGCUCCUGAGUCUCCUGACCCUCUUCUAUCUCCAUCAGUAAACAAAAAGACUGUGGGUCUGGGGAAAAGUUUGUUUUGACAUAAUUAAAAAGACCCCAAAUCUUUUCCCUCAUUUUUAAAAAAUCUGUGCCAACUUUUUUUCUAAAAUAUUCCCUAAGUUUCUCCCAUCCAAGACCUUACCCCUUGCUGAAAAUAGGAUAAGAAAUUGCUAACAGAGUCUUACAUGAAGGAAGCCAAGAAGGGGAGUAAAGGCAGGGAUUUUUCUGAACUCUCCCAAAUUCUCUUCCAAACAAUAUUAAGGUAAGACCUCAAAUUGAAUUCUGGACUGGCAGAACAAAAAGUCUGGGUGAAAUAAUUUUCUAUCUUACAACAACUUAGGAAGUGUGUCAAGGAAGUUCAUUCCCUCCCCCUCCUGAGUUAACUUGACCUGUCUGCCAAACAUUCCUGACAUAACACAGUAGAGCCAGGUUUGCAUCCCUAUAUGUGCUGUACAUGAAUAAAAGUCAAGGUUUGGGGGCUUGAGAGAGGGGA